CGAGCAGGUUGGAAGUUGGGGUUAUGCUGGACGUGCGUUCCCUAGGGGCGCUGGUUCCCCAGGCCAGCUCUGGAGCAGGAGGAGGCUGGGUAGCGGCCAGCGGCGCCCCCCCCCCCCCACCGCCCAGGACCACACCGGCGCCAUCCGGCUCCCUCCUGCGGGACCCAGGACUAUUUAUUGAAGGCAUCCAGCAUCUCCAGUUAGCAGUACUGACUUUUUUCCCCCAACACUACAUCAACACUCUUGGCCUGGAUCUGGACACAGAAGACUCCUGUUUCAAGAAAAUACAAUCAUCUCUCAAAUCCUGUAAUUUAUAUGCAGUUUAAACUCACUAGGUAUUGAAAGCCACCCAAGUGUCCCACAACAUAGGGUAAAAUAUAAUCAAUCAUUCGGUGUAAUAUUAUACAUCCUUUAAAAAUGUUAUUGGAAAAUGUUUUAUGAUCUGUAAGUCAAAAUAACCCUUUCCCAUCGUUUCUUUCUCCCUGCUGCUCCCUUAUACC
rnacentral:lncRNA from 9 species